rnacentral:rRNA from 1 species
GACGAACGCUGGCGGCGUGCUUAACACAUGCAAGUCGAACGGAAAGGCCCUGCUUUUGUGGGGUGCUCGAGUGGCGAACGGGUGAGUAACACGUGAGUAACCUGCCCUUGACUUUGGGAUAACUUCAGGAAACUGGGGCUAAUACCGGAUAGGAGCUCCUGCUGCAUGGUGUGGGUUGGAAAGUUUCGGCGGUUGGGGAUGGACUCGCGGCUUAUCAGCUUGUUGGUGGGGUAGUGGCUUACCAAGGCUUUGACGGGUAGCCGGCCUGAGAGGGUGACCGGCCACAUUGGGACUGAGAUACGGCCCAGACUCCUACGGGAGGCAGAAGUGGGGAAUAUUGCACAAUGGGCGGAGGCCUGAUGCAGCAACGCCGCGUGCGGGAUGACGGCCUUCGGGUUGUAAACCGCUUUCGCCUGUGACGAAGCGUGAGUGACGGUAAUGGGUAAAGAAGCACCGGCUAACUACGUG